GUCUGUUCCAAGGCGGCUUUUCUUUGAGCUCCCUUCAGCCUUCUCUGGGAACAGCUGCUGGGGGAUGGUCAGGAGGAGGCAGCUUGAGGCCUCAGCUGAAGAAGAAAAGGACCAUAAGCAGAAUCUAUAAAUGGUGAAAGCAAACUGUCAACUAGAAUAUAUUCAGAAAUCCUCUCAGCCUAAUGCAUGUUCAGUCACUCAGUCGUGCCUGACUCUUUGCGAC